AUCUUUUGAAAGGCUACCUUUUCAAUCUAGAUCACCAUGACCAUUUCCACAUGGUCUCGCUGUGUUGCCAAAGCUGAUCUCAAACUUCUGGCCUCAAACAAACCUCCUGCCUUAACCUUCCAAAGUGCUGGGAUUAUAGACGAGCCACUGUGCCCUGCCAUGGAGUCAUGUGACACACAUAGUAAGCUGUCAGAUAUAUUUGAUAAGUUCAAAUAGACACCAAGUAAAAAAAGAUUCCCAUUUAUUCUCCCCAACUUGCCAACCCCCUAAAUUAAGUAAUGAAAUGAAACCAGCACCUUUUCAGUAUAUCUGACUUAAAAAUCAUUAUUUAUUCUGACCCAUUUAACUGCAGGAUUUUUCCCCUAGAGCAGACAGCUAUAGGUCUACAUCAUUAAGGAUUCUCAAAUAAGUGAAUUAUUGAAGCCACAUAAAAGCCAUCAAUUGCAAAUUCUACUUUGUUUAAGUAGCUAAAAUGAAAGUGGUGGAAAAACAGGAGAUGAGCAUAUUAAAUUCUCUACUAGUGCUGAAUCGUUAAAUGACUAGCUAAACAGCGAAGAAGAAAUCAUUCUAGAAUGCAGUGCUCUGGAUCCUGCUUUGUUAUGGUUAUAAUAGUAUUAAGUUAACAGUAUUAAUUUUAACAGCUUGACAGCUGGAGAAAACAUUGUUUCAGGAGUUAGGCUUUGUAAUCUGAGACUUGAGGGUUUUCUCAAUUUCUCUCUGUUUAUGAUAAAGAAAAACCCUAUUACUACUCCCUUUGUUUUGGUUAAAACUGAAAAUAACUGAUUUUGAAAUCAAAUAACCAGCAUAAUAUAAAGUCACCCAUGUGUUCUGCUCAUCCCUUACUUAAAACCUGUCAGCUGCCUUGGUGUAUUAAAGGUCUCCUCCACAUGCUUUUGUCUUCACUUUGGCCUAAUAGAUCUGCCAGUGCCAGAGGAUCACCCAGAGCCUCCAACUUGCUACCCACUGGUUUGCCACCAGAGUGAAUACCUACUUCCUUGUUUCCCCAGGGCCUGGUAGAAAAGAACUGCCUUGACUGCAGUCAUAUGUCAUCCCAACAUAUUCUACUCAAUACAAAGCAGUACAAAGUUCCAUUGUUUAAGUUAUUCAAACGGCAAAGUUUGACUAGAAUUUUGUUUUAUCAGUUAUAAUACUAUUCUUUUUUUACUCUUAUGGUUUUUUCCCAAAAUAAUCUACUUUUAAACCUAUAAUUAUUCUUUCAGCCAGUAUCUGCUGCAUAUCUUACUCCUUGCUAAACACUUACACGUCUUCAUGGGAAAGCUUGCAGUCUUACUGAGAGAUUAAAAAUAAUCAUAGUACAAAGAGAUUCACAGUUAAAUGCUAAAAAUGUGAUGAAGACAUAAAUACUGGAGAGGCUUAUAGAAAGAUGACCUCAGAAUGGGCAAGAGUGGUCAUGGAAAGCGUUGUGGUAAAGACACGGCAGAGAAGUGGCCACAUACUUAGUGCUACCACAUCUACAUUCAAAGCCCUAUUCCACACCUUGCCCUGGCCAGGUCCACCUUUGAGGUAAUGAUGACAGUUGCUGGGAAAAGAGAAAAGACCACUGGCUCACUACUUGUUUCUGCUGCUGUAAUAGAGAGGAGAAAAUGAUGAAAUGCUCUUGUUACCUUCCUGUUUGAAGAUUGCCUGGUCAUAAAAGGGAGUCAGAAGUCUGACUUCUCUAUCUCUACCCCUUAGGGGACUCUUUAACAACAAAAAGAAUGUAUUACAAGUAUGUCAAGCUGAUACACAAGGCUUUUCCUCCUGGAAGAUUGGUGUAAGGUGAUGAGUUUCUAAUCCCAAAUAUAUUUGCAUUUACCAGGCUUUUGUGAGUUUAAGAAGUUAUCUAUUAUACCUUUUUUUUUUCCCUAUAGGAAAAUGCUUGUUUCUAUCAAGAAUGACUCCUUUAUAAACUGGGGAGUAUCUUUAAGAGUGGUUUCAACCCUGACUGUAUAAUAUAAUCUGUUGAGGAGCUUAAAAAAAAUAUGGGUCAGGCGCGGUGGCUCAAGCCUGUAAUCCCAGCACUUUGGGAGGCCGAGACAGGCGGAUCAUGAGGUCAGGAGAUCGAGACCAUCCUGGCUAACACAGUGAAACCCUAUCUCUACUAAAAAAUACAAAAAACUAGCCGGGCGUGAUGGCGGGCGCCUGUAGUCCCAGCUACUCGGGAGGCUGAGGCAGGAGAAUGGCGUAAACCCAGGAGGCAGAGCUUGCAGUGAGCUGAGAUCCGGCCACUGUAUUCCAGCCUGGGCGACAGAGCGAGACUCUGUCUCAAAAAAAAAAAAAA
ensembl:lncRNA